UACUCCCUCUGGCGGCGUGCUUAACACAUGCAAGUCGAACGGAAAGGCCCUGCUUUUGUGGGGUGCUCGAGUGGCGAACGGGUGAGUAACACGUGAGUAACCUGCCCUUGACUUUGGGAUAACUUCAGGAAACUGGGGCUAAUACCGGAUAGGAGCUCCUGCUGCAUGGUGGGGGUUGGAAAGUUUCGGCGGUUGGGGAUGGACUCGCGGCUUAUCAGCUUGUUGGUGGGGUAGUGGCUUACCAAGGCUUUGACGGGUAGCCGGCCUGAGAGGGUGACCGGCCACAUUGGGACUGAGAUACGGCCCAGACUCCUACGGGAGGCAGCAGUGGGGAAUAUUGCACAAUGGGCGGAAGCCUGAUGCAGCAACGCCGCGUGCGGGAUGACGGCCUUCGGGUUGUAAACCGCUUUCGCCUGUGACGAAGCGUGAGUGACGGUAAUGGGUAAAGAAGCACCGGCUAACUACGUG
rnacentral:rRNA from 1 species